CAGCCGCCGCGGUAAUACGUAGGUGGCAAGCGUUGUCCGGAAUUAUUGGGCGUAAAGGGCUCGCAGGCGGUUUCUUAAGUCUGAUGUGAAAGCCCCCGGCUCAGCCGGGGAGGGUCAUUGGAAACUGGGAAACUUGAGUGCAGAAGAGGAGAGUGGAAUUCCACGUGUAGCGGUGAAAUGCGUAGAGAUGUGGAGGAACACCAGUGGCGAAGGCGACUCUCUGGUCUGUAACUGACGCUGAGGAGCGAGAGCGUGGGGAGCAAACAGGAUUAGAUACCCCUGUAGUCCCUGUCUCUUAUAC
rnacentral:rRNA from 1 species